GGCAAACCACUCUUAGCAUCUGUACCAAGAAAACUCCAAAUGGGAUCACGAAGAGUUGGACACAACGGAACAACAUAAUACUAUACAAAAGCACUUAGCAAAUGCUUUCAUGACUGAUUACAAAAUGAAACUCAUUUUCAAAUAGUUUCUCCAGUUAAAAAAUAAGCUUCUCCUUACAUUGUCAAGGAUCCAUUAAUGGGUGACAUGAAGCUCAAAGAAGUGGCACAAUCCUUAUGUGCAGGUGGGGCAGGGCUUUUCUGAUUAAUAGUAGUUUCCUACACAAGGAACUGAGAGUAGAAAGUUAAAUAACAAUAUAGUAUUUAAAUAUUUGGCUAAAACAGUUUUGUCUUGGGAUACUUGGAAGGGUCUCAAACAGCUCCGUCUUCCUUCCCUUGAGUGGGAUGGAAAAAGCACUAGUACCUAAGAGAUGAUAAGAGAAGAUGGAUAUUGUAAGUAUGACUCUAAAGUUAGCAUCCUCUUAGUUCAGGUUUGAUGUUGGGAUGAAAUAAGGCACUCAUGAGUCACUGAAUAUUAACUGCCCUUGGGGAGCCAGGCAGUAUCACCCAGGCACUCACAGUACCCUCACCCCCACCAUAUUUGUGGGGCUCUUAUCCCAACUCUACCAUCUUGUAAGUCAAGAGGCCAUCUCAUCCCAGCCUACCGAUCAUGCCAAAUGCUCUAAAGCUAGCACCUUCCUAGUUCAGAUUCAGUAUUGGGAGGAAAUGAGACACUUGUGAAUCACUGAACAAAGCAGGUUUACUUUGCCCAAAUCCAGCAAAGAUAUACAACAAGGAUACAGCAGCCCCCCUCCCCUCAUCUAGAAAUGAGUUUGGUCAGUCCUUAGGCAAGCUUCCUGGUAUAGUGACUAUCCAUGAAGUCUGACUUGUGCACUUCAUUGGCCCUAGGCCUGGAGGUGUGUCACAGAAGCUGGAGCCGUGUCACAGAAGCUGGAGCCAAUCAGGUUUCCUGAAGGCAGCAAGCUUCACUAGGGAAGCUGGGACUGAAGGGAGUUGGGGAGAGGUGAGUGAAGUGAUUGGAAUGAAAGCUAUGUCAGGGUAAGAAGGGGGGGCAGCUAUCCAAGCACAAUAGUUUCCAAGGCCAGGAUCAUCAAUCCUGAGGAGCACUAAGCCGGCUUGCUGAAAGGGAUUAUGUGGCUGGGAAUGUAGAUGCAAAGUAGAACCCUGAAAACUUUGGAGACUAUAGAUUAAAAGUGAGUUAGAGCAUUCUUCUCAGCAACAGCAGUAACAGCACCCGGGGAACAAGCAAACCCGAGGGAAAUAGCCAGGUGCCCUAGGACAACAGGAAGAGGAGGCUGGAGAGCACAUGGAGUGGCGCGAGACAAAUGACUGGCAAUUCCAGACUAGAAGCAGUCAUCUGCAAAAGCAGCCUACAUAGCAUAAAAAUGUUUAGAAAUAAUCCUUGGAAUUAAAGAAAUCUGAGAAAGAGAAACUGCCCUCUUACACCUCAAGAAUUUGGAAAAGACCCAUAAGAAGGGACUUUUUUCCUCCCCGAGGACCUUUAAGGCCAAUGCUGCAUUCUGAGUGUCCUGAGCUCUGGCUCCAGUGCUUUCCCUCUGCUUCUGAUCCACCUGAAAACUACUCCCAUCUAGUGGUUUGAAAGUGAGUUUUAUAUUAUCUUUUUCAUCUGCACCCUGAGAAUUUCCUCUCCAUGAAGAGCUUCCAUAAAUGCUGAUGGGAGUCCUGCCCACAGAUGAAGUAAGAGAAAAACAGUGAGCCAGUUACUCUGAGCACACUGAUGCCUCAAACAAGGGUCAUCGAACAAGGAAAGAGAUGCACCCAAGAAGCAUCACCUGCCCUGUCAGUUUGGAGAACUAAAAGUGGGACAAGUGGAUGGUCCCCAAAGGGCUUCUCUGAGGGUUUCAACAAAGAGGAGCUGACAUCUGU